AACGCACAUUGCGCCCGUUGGUAUUCCGACGGGCACGCCUGUUCGAGCGUCAUUGCACCAAUCCCGCACCGCGGGGUGUUGGGGGUUCGUCGCGCGGCGACGCCCCCGGAACGCGUUGGCGGCGCCGCCCGUCCUCAGUCGUAGCAAGCUAUCCGACUUGGAGGCGCGGGCGGGGCUGGCCCUAAACCCCCCUUUUGACGGUUUGACCUCGGAUCAGGCGGGAGUACCCGCUGAACUUAA
rnacentral:misc_RNA from 1 species